rnacentral:rRNA from 1 species
GUAAUACAUCGGAACAUGUCCUGUAGUGGGGGAUAGCCCGGCGAAAGCCGGAUUAAUACCGCAUACGAUCUAUGGAUGAAAGCGGGGGACCUUCGGGCCUCGCGCUAUAGGGUUGGCCGAUGGCUGAUUAGCUAGUUGGUGGGGUAAAGGCCUACCAAGGCGACGAUCAGUAGCUGGUCUGAGAGGACGACCAGCCACACUGGGACUGAGACACGGCCCAGACUCCUACGGGAGGCAGCAGUGGGGAAUUUUGGACAAUGGGCGAAAGCCUGAUCCAGCAAUGCCGCGUGUGUGAAGAAGGCCUUCGGGUUGUAAAGCACUUUUGUCCGGAAAGAAAUCCUUGGCUCUAAUACAGUCGGGGGAUGACGGUACCGGAAGAAUAAGCACCGGCUAACUACGUGCCAGCAGCCGCGGUAAUACGUAGGGUGCAAGCGUUAAUCGGAAUUACUGGGCGUAAAGCGUGCGCAGGCGGUUUGCUAAGACCGAUGUGAAAUCCCCGG